rnacentral:rRNA from 1 species
GAUGAACGCUAGCGAUAGGCCAAACACAUGCAAGUCGAGGGGCAUCACGGAGUAGCAAUACUUUGGUGGCGACCGGCGCACGGGUGAGUAACGCGUAUGCAAUCUACCUACAACAGGGGGAUAACCCGGAGAAAUCCGGACUAAUACCGCAUAACACAGGGGUCCCGCAUGGGAAUAUUUGUUAAAGAUUUAUCGGUUGUAGAUGAGCAUGCGUUCCAUUAGGUAGUUGGUGAGGUAACGGCCCACCAAGCCUGAGAUGGAUAGGGGAACUGAGAGGUUUGUCCCCCACACUGGAACUGAGACACGGACAAGACUCCUACGGGAGGCAGCCGUGAGGAAUAUUGGUCAAUGGGCGAGAGCCUGAACCAGCCAAAUCGCGUGAAGGAAGACUGCCUUAUGGGUUGUAAACUUCUUUUGUACAGGAAUAAAAAGAGGGACGUGUCCUUCAUUGCAUGUACUGUACGAAUAAGCAUCGGCUAACUCCGUGCCAGCCGCCGCAGUAA